GAGUAAUACAUCGGAACGUAUCUUAAAGUGGGGGAUAACGCAUCGAAAGNNNUGCUAAUACCGCAUACACUCUGAGGAGGAAAGUAGGGGAUCGAAAGACCUUAUGCUUUUGGAGCGGCCGAUGUCUGAUUAGCUAGUUGGUAAGGUAAUGGCUUACCAAGGCAACGAUCAGUAGUUGGUCUGAGAGGACGACCAGCCACACUGGGAC
rnacentral:rRNA from 1 species